rnacentral:rRNA from 1 species
AUGCGAUGGCGGCGUGCUUAAACAUGCAAGUCGAACGAACCUUCGGGUUAGUGGCGGACGGGUGAGUAACGCGUGAGAAUCUGCCCUCAGGAGGGGGACAACAGCUGGAAACGGCUGCUAAUACCCCAUAUGCCGCGAGGUGAAAUGAAUUUCGCCUGAGGAUGAGCUCGCGUCUGAUUAGCUAGUUGGUGUAGGUAAUGGCUCACCAAGGCAUCGAUCAGUAGCUGGUCUGAGAGGAUGAUCAGCCACACUGGGACUGAGACACGGCCCAGACUCCUACGGGAGGCAGCAGUGGGGAAUUUUCCGCAAUGGGCGAAAGCCUGACGGAGCAACGCCGCGUGAGGGAUGAAGGCCUCUGGGCUGUAAACCUCUUUUAUCAAGGAAGAAGAUCUGACGGUACUUGAUGAAUAAGCCACGGCUAAUUCCGUGCCAGCAGCCGCGGUAAUACGGGAGUGGCAAGCGUUAUCCGGAAUUAUUGGGCGUAAAGCGUCCGCAGGCGGCCCUUCAAGUCUGCUGUUAAAAAGUGGAGCUUAACUCCAUCAUGGCAGUGGAAACUGUUGGGCUUGAGUGUGGUAGGGGCAGAGGGAAUUCCCGGUGUAGCGGUGAGAUGCGUAGAUAUCGGGAAGAACACCAGUGGCGAAGGCGCUCUGCUGGGCCAUCACUGACGCUCAUGGACGAAAGCCAGGGGAGCGAAAGGGAUUAGAUACCCCUGUAGUCCUGGCCGUAAGCGAUGAACACUAGUGUCGGGGGAAUCGACCCCCUCGGUGUCGUAGCCAACGCGUUAAGUGUUCCGCCUGGGGAGUACGCACGCAAGUGUGAACUCAAAUGAUUGACGGAGGG